GACGAACGCUGGCGGCGUGCUUAACACAUGCAAGUCGAACGGAAAGGCCCUGCUUUUGUGGGGUGCUCGAGAGGGGAACGGGUGAGUAAAACGUGAGUAACAUGCACUUGACUUAGGGAUAACUUCAGGAAACUGGGGCGAAUACCGGAUAGGAGCUCCUGCUGCAUGGGGGGGGUUGGAAAAUUUCGGCGGUUGGGGAUGGAAUAGCGGCUUAUCCGCUUGAUGGUGGGGUAGUGGUUUACAAAGGCUUUGACGGGUAGCCGGCCUGAGAGGGUGGCCGGCCACAAUGGGACUGAGAUACGGCCCAGUCUCCUACGGUCCGCAGCAGUCGGGAACAUUGCACAGUGGGCCGAAGCCUGAUGCAGCAGCGCCCCGAUCGUGAUGCCGUCUUUCUGGUUGUAAACCGCUUUGUCCGUUGACGUACCCUUAGUGACGGUACCUGGUAAAGAAGCCCCGGCUAACUACGUG
rnacentral:rRNA from 1 species